rnacentral:rRNA from 1 species
UAAACGACUCUCGGCAACGGAUAUCUCGGCUCUCGCAUCGAUGAAGAAGCUAGCGAAAUGCGAUACUUGGUGUGAAUUGCAGAAUCCCGUGAACCAUCGAGUCUUUGAACGCAAGUUGCGCCCGAAGCCAUUAGGCCGAGGGCACGUCUGCCCUGGGCGUCACG